AUGACUACACCAACCACUUUGGCAUCUUCGCCAAGUGCUAUCGAGGCAUCUUCGCCUUUGGAUGUACGGCAUCUUCGCCUACUUCCCACGAGUACGCCUACAACGACUUCAUCAAGUCCAAGGCGACCACCUACGAGCGAGGGCGACACUUCCAUCUUCAGAAGCCCCUCAAGGACGAUGGCUGAGCAUGGGAAACUCCCUUCGGUCAUGGAGACGAGCUACGAGGUGCCACAUCAUAUGGACCUCCAACACCAAGACGGCGACAAGAUGGUCGAGCAAGGGCCAUCCCCUUCGACUACGGCGACAGGCGCGAAUCUCUUCAACAACAUGAAGAUGGUGCCCAUAGUGGACUCAUCCUCCGAGUCAAGCUACGAGACUGCGCAUGAAGACUUUUGCCACCAUAUUGAGAGUGAGAGUGACUUCACCACUAGCCCCAUAUAUGAUGAGCCGCACCAAUUCCCAUGUGAGGAGAGCCACCACCACCACCACUUGAGUGAUUUGAGUGCCUCCACCAUAUGCGAUAUUGAGUGCACCUACCUUGAGGGAGGGAGUGAGCCACCGCCACAUAGAGAGAGUGAGAUAAUUGAUGAGGCAUAUGAGGCCAUUUCGCUUUCUAACAACUUAACCUCUACCUCUCUUGUGUCUUCUCCUUUGGUGCUAGGUCCCAUAUAUGAUGACGCAUCGAUUCGCGAUGACUACGUCCCCCCUUUGGACACGACGAUGGCCAUGGUGGAACAUGAUGAACCCCCCACAUGGUUCCAUCAAGAUGAAGAUGACAACGAGACGAUCUUCAACACCUCACCUACAACACACAAGCGAUGCUCCAAAGGUAACAUAGGUGAUGGUGCUUCUCUUGUCCCACUAGUGGACCCUCUUGAUAAUGAUUGCUCCCAUGAUGUUGAUACACCUAUUGCCAUGCUUCAUGCUAGUGAAACUUCUUCAUGUCAUGACUUACCUAUUUAUGAUGAAUACGAUGAUGACCAUGUUGAGUUACCUAGUUGUGAUGCUAUGCUUCAUAGGAUAUCAUGUUAA
rnacentral:rRNA from 1 species